GGCACAUGGCAAUUAUCAUGAAAUGUUAAUUUCUAAAUUUCAAUAGGUCAAAGGAAUAUGGAUCUGUGGGGGACAUUACCCAUUCAGAGAAUUCAAGUUACUGUUAACAACUUAUGGAAGCUUCAUGGAUCUGACAUGGUGCAGUCUGAAAAUGGUGGAUUUUUUUUUCACCAUAUAGAAGUGUUCAGACCGGUUGUUCUUUCCGAUACAACUUUCACAAGCUUCAGGGCUAAGACUGCUGUUACUCACCCCUUGCUUUGGCAUAAAAAGCUCGCUGAGGGUAUCUUAUUGCGGGUUUGCCUUAAGGUAGAUUAGAUUAAUUAUUACUAUGUAAUGCAAGUAAAAGCAAAUAAAGCUUAGGAUUAGUGCUGCCUUUAGAAAUUUGUGAAAAAUAAAUAAAUGCUUGUCAAUCUUAAUGGAAUGUGGUAAGUUUUUCUCAUAUCAGUGAGAAUGAAAGAACUAUUUACCCUAUGAGAGGGGUAUUUAUAUUGGGAUAAGCACACAGACUUAAAUAUAGAAAGAAGGUAUCUCAAACUGAGAGAAGCUGAAAUUUUCAUGGAAGACUCGAAGUCGUGCUAAAGCAGCAAAAUUUGCUUGAAAACAAAGCCUUAUGUAAUCACUUGAACUUCAGUGCCUUUUCUGUAUUGUUAUUAAUGCUAAUCAUUCAUCAUAGCUCAAAGUAUUAAACAGUUUGCUUUACAAAAUAUUAACUUCACAUAUUGGUAAAGGAGGAGAAAAUGAGUAAAUAAGGUUAUCUAUGCAUUAUUACCAAGCCAUACAGAAUUGUUUUUCAAGUGGCGUUAGAAGUACCGUAACUGUUAAAACAACCAAGUUUGGAAGUGUACUUUGGUUCAUAAUUGUUCCAUAAUUUGUAUAACAUGUUUCAUUUAACAAUUUGAAGUGUGAAUCACAGUAAGCAUACACAUAUGUCUAUGUAUGCUCCGUUUAACAUGUAAAUUAUUGUUAGAAUAUUUUUAUUGGUUGUUGCCCUUUUAGUGCCUUAUUCUGAGAAUUCUUUUACUGCCAUGUCAAAUGAGUUUAGAAAUUUCAAAUACCUAUUGCUGUGUGUCAGUAGUUUUAUUGAUUGAAGUAUUGUAGGAUCUAGUUCCAUUUUCAGUUGUACAAUCUUGAAAAAAACUGUUGGUUACCACAAGAUAAUUUAAUCAUAAUAAAAAUAGUAAUAAUUUUUUUACCGUGAAAACAAUUUAAAUCUCUGCAACAUGUUAAAAUUCCAGGUAAUACAGGAAUUGAAUACUUUUUAAAUUCUUGUCUUGUAGCAGGAAUAUUAUUAUGGUAUUAACCGUAUGAUUUAUUUUAUUUUUUAACCAAAUACCUCUUUAGUAAUUUAUAAUGGCUUUGCAGUUAUGUAUUAAAUAAGAAGCACUGGAAAAAUGAUUCGUCUCAAUGGCGAUUUGCAUGUUUCAAGUGGUGUUGAAAGCCUUAGCAAUAGAUAUGUAAUAAGCAUAUCUGUUAAUACAGCAGUAAUGACUUGUGCUCAUUUAAUACAAAAUAAAACUAAUUUAUGAAAUAAUUAUUUUGAAAAUGACUGUGGUAUUUUUCUCCAGAAUACAGUUUCUAGGAAGUUUUAUUGUACUUUACAGGCCAACUGUUAGCAUAUUUAAAUCUGAUGCAACUUGAUAAUUUUUUAAAAAAUAAAUUUUUAUAAUGUCAUACUACAUUUUAAUACAGGGUAAAUUAGUAGAAAUCGCAUAGGAUAUUAAAGAACUUGUUUUGAUAAUUAAAUUGUUAAAUCCAUUUACUAGCACAUGAUUUCCCUCAGAAGCCUUAUACCAGGUACACAGCUCUUACAAUAUUAUAUUUCCAUGAAUUUUAAUUUAUGCAUAAACCAUAAUUGUUAAUAGAAAUAUGUUACAUUUAUUUCUGCACUCUGGAAAUCAGUGAUUUUGCUUUGUUACUAUAUACAAAUAAUAUGGACUCUAGCAAAGCUUAGGUGAGUAAUAGAAUUGAAAGAAGAUUGACAAUGCUGAAAAGUUAAAAGAGGUUAGGAAGUUAAAGUGUAGUUAAAGAAGGCCAGAGGAGUUUGAUUUUGUCAAAGUGGUCUGAGAAAAGAGGACAGAGUGUUUGAGAUAGGAAGGCAAAAGACUGUGGGAUGACUGACAUGUAGUAUGAGAAAGCAAGUGGAAAGAAGGGACAGAGGAGGAUUCAUGUGCUUGAGAUAGUAUAAAGCCAAAGAGAUGGGAAUAACAGGCAAGAAAUUCAAAGUUUUGUUAACCGAUUCAGAGCUUAGAAAAGGGUCCAUAGAGUGGUUAGACAGACUAAUAAGUCUAUAGUGAAAAAGAAAGUUACUUUGAGAGGAAACUGAGAAGAUAAGCAAGGAUAUGGUUACUGAUUUUUAUUGUUUCUUGGUUAAAACCAGUGGAGUGCAAAGAUAUGGAAUUUGAAAUAUUUUGAGCUUGAAAUGUUCUACAAUACUCAAAAUUGAAAACAGCUGCAGAAAACGGUUGUAGAAGAGUUCUAAUCUCUAAAUGUUUCCAUUUUGAGUUGGAAACUUUUUGCUAGAAUAAUGGCUGAAUGCUUAUAAGGUUCAGAACAACCCAUUUCAAUCUUGAAUUGUUUUAUAUUCUUCUAAUUAAAAUUAAUUAUUCUUUAAAAUUAAGGAUUUUUAAAAAGAAAAAUGACAACUCUUUCCAUGAAGAAAAAAAUAGAAUAAGUUUGAUUUUUUUAAAAAUAAAAAGGUAUAAAUAUUACCUGUAAAUGUGCAAUUUUCAAUGUUCUUACCACUAUUAACAAUUUCAGUAAAUGGGAUGAGUGAUGCCUAACAGGAAGACAGAAAUAAUCUAAACCAUGCCCAAAUAGUAGCUUAAUAACACCAGAACUGACAUAGAAUUAUAUAUUAUAGGGAGAGGUAUAUUGAUGCAGAAUAAUACUAGCCCAUCUAUGAAAUGUUGCCAUGCAUUCUGGAGAAUUAUGCCUAAGCCCAAAAUUUAGGUUACUCGAUUUGUUUAAUCUCCAGGGGCUAUUUUAUAAUGUUGAAGAAUUCAUUCCUGUGACGUGUAAUUGUAAACAUCUAAUCAUGCCUGGUUGUGAAUUUGGUGUCAGGCCCCUCCCUGCAGUGUCAGUAAAAUAUGUGUUUUAAUGCAACAAUUUCAACUAUAUAAUGUAUUAGAUUGUGUUUUUAUUACUGUUAAAUUUUUAUUUUGAUGGUUUGUUCUUUGGUAUUCCUCAACCCAUAUGUAUAUAUUUGCCACUUUAUAAAUCCAUUUCAUGAAUCAUUUGGAGUAGCUGUUGCCUGUAAAACAUUAUGCUGCAAUAAAAUAAACCAAUGAAUCUUUGAAUUGCCAAAAA